UGUUCUCCUUUUUGCAUGGUGAUUUUCAGGCAAAAAUGAAGAGAUUUCAGACAGAGACUAUGAGAAGUUCAAAAAGGAGACGACUGACAGAGGGAUUCCGGAAGAAAAUAUUGUGAAUUUCACUGACAAUGAUGACUGUCCAGAGGAGUGAAUAAAAUUGAGUUCAACAGUUUUAGUCACUGAGACCAGUCACAUCCCCUUCUGCAUGGAACCAAGAUCAACGACGCAAAGAUGACUUUCCUGCUUCCUGAUUAACAGGAUCCUUUUCUCUUCACAUACACACUUUCUUUCCCGUCUCAUUUCUCCUGAUCACUGGUCAUGUGCUGUCUGGUGGUAUUUGGUUUCAGAAGGCUUAAAUAAAUUGAUUUAAUAUCUGCCCUGCAAA